CAGUGAGGUCACAGUGGAGUGGGUAACAGGGCCUUAGACCAGUGUAACUCUUGUCCUUGUAAGACUGAGAUCAUGUGAACACACUCAGGGGGAACCCCAUGUGAUGACAAAGGCAGCUGCAAGCCAAGGAGCACCAAUACGGCCAGCAAGCCACCUGAAAGGAAAGAGAUCAGAACAGAUCUUCCCUCAGUCUUGCCAACAACUGUAUCUCCAAUUUUUACCUGUGGUCCAAAAAUGCUGAGUAGAAAAUUCUUGAAGUAGACAAGUUUUAAAUUAUGCACUGCUGGAUUGAACUCAGGACCUUGAGCUUCCAAGGCCCGAUGGGGACACAGAGCUGUGUUACAUCAUGUCAGACGGCAAUCGACGCGCUGCUAACACAAGCUGACAAGAAGGCCCUAGCAAUCUGCUUAUCUGGAUCCUGCCCUUGCUGAGUAAAGGCCACUAUCAGAAUUAUUCACACGGAAUUACAGCAGCUGGGAGUCUGCAGAGUACUCAUUACAUCACCCUCAGGUUAGUCACUCAGCACGGAGGGAGCCUAGCCUGCCCUGGCCCCUGCCCCUUCCCCGCCCUUCCCCGGCAGGUGGGGUCCUUCCUGGCUCACACACCAAGACCAAAAGUCACAUCGGGCCAGUCUCAGAGUGGCCUUGUCUGUGCACAGGGUCUCUUUUCUGAGGUCCUUGCUGUGCAGUGAGCAGAGUCACGCAACGGGGGGACCCUGGAGGAGAAGGAGGCUUGGGACAAGGUAGUGAGGCCCUUUCCUGGAAGGGUCCCGCCAACCUCUGGGCCCAAAUAUCACUGCAAGCAAUUUAAUGGACCUGUGGAGUCUCCAGCCUGACUUCCACAGAGGCUGCCUGCUUCCUACAUGUCUUGCAAAGGAAAAGACACGAGUACUGAGAGGAGAAGACACCUCAAGAAUGCUCAGACCCUCUGAGACGUUCCCAGCUUGCUCCCACGAGCCAACCCUGGCUUCUACCCUUGACACACCCCUCCUGCACCUCCUCAAGCGACAAGCCCACACCUGCAAUCCAAACACACUCGGGGUACACCCGGCACAUGUCCGUUCCCAUGCAAAACCCAGCAAAACUGAUGGUGGAGGCUGUGGGAGAGAGGCGGGAAGAGAGAAUGUGGUUAAGAAGGUGGGUUCAAAGGCAUGGGCCCCUUAUUACUGCCAUCCCGUAAUAACACACAGGAGCAACAUGGCCUGAACUUGAAGGCAGGCAGGGCUGGAGGAAGAUCAAGGCUUCUGGGAAAGACAGAAGUGCUCUCUGACCUAUUUACUGAUUUAUGUUCAAAUUGUGAUUCAAAUUCUAGCUAUACCCUAUUUUACACAUAUCAGAACUUGGCGGAAAUUCCCAGCCUGUCUCUGGCCCCAGCUGCUCUCCAAAAUAGUGUCC
rnacentral:lncRNA from 1 species